AGUGUGACUGCUAGAUUAUAUGGUAGAAAUAUAUUUAGUUUUGUAAGAAGCUGCCAAAUUGUCUUCCAAAAUAGCUGUACCAUUUUGCAUUGCCACCAACAAU
rnacentral:pre_miRNA from 1 species